UGAAUACUAGGUGUUGGGAAGCAUUGCUUCUCGGUGCCGUCGCAAACGCAGUAAGUAUUCCACCUGGGGAGUACGUUCGCAAGAAUGAAACCCAAAGGAAUUGACGGGGACCCGCACAAGCGGUGGAGCAUGUGGUUUAAUUCGAAGCAACGCGAAGAACCUUACCAAGUCUUGACAUCCUUCUGACCGGUACUUAACCGUACCUUCUCUUCGGAGCAGGAGUGACAGGUGGUGCAUGGUUGUCGUCAGCUCGUGUCGUGAGAUGUUGGGUUAAGUCCCGCAACGAGCGCAACCCUUAUCUUUAGUAGCCAGCGGUCCGGCCGGGCACUCUAGAGAGACUGCCAGGGAUAACCUGGAGGAAGGCGGGGAUGACGUCAAAUCAUCAUGCCCCUUAUGACUUGGGCUACACACGUGCUACAAUGGCGUAAACAAAGGGAAGCAAAGCUGUGAAGCCGAGCAAAUCUCAAAAAUAACGUCUCAGUUCGGACCGUAGUCUGCAACCCGACUACACGAAGCUGGAAUCGCUAGUAAUCGCAGAUCAGAAUGCUGCGGUGAAUACGUUCCCGGGUCUUGUACACACCGCACGUCACACCAUGGGAGUUGGGAAUGCCCGAAGCCCAGUGACCUAACCGAAAGGAAGG
rnacentral:rRNA from 1 species